ACAUCUAUGGAUGAGAAAUGCGG
rnacentral:piRNA from 1 species